GUAUGAUGUUGUGAGGUGUAUGGUAUUGUGGGGUGUAUGGUGUUGUGGGGUGUAUGGUGUUAUGGGGUGUAUGGUGUUAUGGGGUGUAUGGUGUUGUGGGUGUAUGGUAUUGUGGGUGUAUGGUGUUAUGGUGUUGUGGGGUGUAUGGUUUUAUGGGGUGUAUGGUGCUAUGGGGUGAAUGGUUUUAUGGGGUGUAUGGUGUUGUGGCGUGUAUGGUGUUUUGGGGUGUAUGGUGUUAUGGGGUGUAUGGUGUUAUAGGGUGUAUGGUGUUAUGGGUGUAUGGUGUUAUGGGGUGUAUGGUGUUAUAGGGUGUAUGGUGUAUGGUGUUGUGGGGUGUAUGGUGUAAUGGGGUGUAUGGUUUUAUGGUGUUGUGAGGUGUAUGGUGUUAUGGGGUGUAUGGUGUUGUAUGGUGUAUGGUGUUGUGGGGUGUAUGGUGUUGUGGGGUGUAUGGUGUUGGGG
ensembl:lncRNA